rnacentral:rRNA from 1 species
GACGAACGCUGGCGGCGUGCCUAACACAUGCAAGUCAACUUGACUGAAGGAGCAAUCUGACAGUAGAGUGGCGCAAGGGUGCGUAACGCGUAAGUAACUUGCCCAAGGUAAGGAAUAACGUCGAGAAAUCGGCGCUAAUACCUCAUAAUGCAGCGGAUCCGCAUGGAUAUGUUGUUAAAGGUUUACCGCCUUGGGAUAGGCUUGCGUCUGAUUAGCUAGUUGGUGUGGUAACGGCACACCAAGGCUACGAUCAGUAACUGGUCUGAGAGGAUGAUCAGUCACACUGGAACUGAGACACGGUCCAGACUCCUACGGGAGGCAGCAGUGAGGAAUAUUGGGCAAUGCUCGAAAGAGUGACCCAGCAACGCUGCGUGGAGGAUGAAGGUAUUCUAUAUCGUAAACUCCCGUGAGAGCAGACGAAAGACAGAUUAUUAAUCUGGAUGACUGUAUGCUCAGAGGAAGCCCCGGCUAACUACG